rnacentral:lncRNA from 1 species
AAGCAUAUCUUAUUUGAAUACUAUAUGCUUAAUCCUGUGCUAGACAUUGAAUAGGAUUUUUUUUAAACAUUGGGUUUUUUCCUACAUCUAAUGGCAUAUAUACUUACUAUGAAAAAUUAAAUAAUAGCAGAAAGCAGUAAAGAAAGUACUCAGCUAGCUCAUCAUGUAGACAAAUCUUGUUUUGUUUUCAUAGUGAUUUUAUGAUCUCCUAUGAAGGACAAUGGAAGUAAAGUGGGGGUUUGUGGGUAGGAAGUCAAAGAUGUUAUCAUAACAUAAAACAAAAUGACUAGAAAUAGUCUCUCCAGAUACACCCCAAAUAGCAGGACUAACUACAAUGGAGAAAAGUCUACAAUUAAGUACUUCCCCAGGGGAGUGUCAAGUAGCCACAGAAGAAGCAAUAACAGACAAUAGGUAGGAGUGGGGACAAGUAAAUUGUCUCAGAGCCCUGCAAGUUCAAAUAAAACAGUGGGACAGAGGUGGCAGUCCUAAGGCAGAAUGAAGAAGAACCAACUGGCAGUAUCAGGAAGAUCUGAAAGCUGGAGGCAGAACCUCAGCUGUAGGGCUAGUGUACAAGUUCUCUGGGGCAGACAGGAAAAACUAAGGUCUUAACCAUAAGAAAUUGGGCAUGACAGAUCUUCAGUACAAGGCGUAAGAUUUGAGAGAACACAAUAAGAAUGCAGCCGCCAACCUAGAGGCAGGAAGUGGUCUCCGGAACCAAAGGACACAGGAUUAGAGCCAGGCAUGAAAGAACACUCACUAACCAAUUUAUACACUGCACGGAACUCUCAGGAUCACAUUGCGCAUGUCCCCAGGUCAUCCAUUUAAUAAACCCAUCUACCAUGUGCCAGGCCCCAGAGUAGGGGUGGAGCACCUAGAAAUGGAGAAUUUAGGAUGAAGAAGGCAUGACCCCAAGGCUUCCGGAAUAUGGUCAAGUGUGAUUCAUGGCUCCUGAACACCACAGAGCUCGGAAAGAGAAAGAAGGCAUCCUGUCCUAUGUCCUUUGUAACUAAGUUCACAGUGACAGCCUUAGAUCUAAAGAGUGAAGCUUCACGGAAUGAAAGAGAAGCUGCCCUUUAAGGUGCUGACCUCAACAACCAGGUACCAAGCAUCUCUUCUGUGCCAAGAAUGAAGAAG